GAUGAACGCUGGCGGCGUGCUUAACACAUGCAAGUCGAACGAUGAAGCCCAGCUUGCUGGGUGGAUUAGUGGCGAACGGGUGAGUAACACGUGAGUAACCUGCCCUUAACUCUGGGAUAAGCCUGGGAAACUGGGUCUAAUACCGGAUAGGAGCGUCCACCGCAUGGUGGGUGUUGGAAAGAUUUAUCGGUUUUGGAUGGACUCGCGGCCUAUCAGCUUGUUGGUGAGGUAAUGGCUCACCAAGGCGACGACGGGUAGCCGGCCUGAGAGGGUGACCGGCCACACUGGGACUGAGACACGGCCCAGACUCCUACGGGAGGCAGCAGUGGGGAAUAUUGCACAAUGGGCGCAAGCCUGAUGCAGCGACGCCGCGUGAGGGAUGACGGCCUUCGGGUUGUAAACCUCUUUCAGUAGGGAAGAAGCGAAAGUGACGGUACCUGCAGGAGAAGCACCGGCUAACUACGU
rnacentral:rRNA from 1 species